rnacentral:rRNA from 1 species
UUGCUGUGGUAUUUUGACUAUACGAAGGUAUUGAAAUAAGAUUUUAAAUGAGUGCUAAGAGAAUGAUUAAACAAUUAAAAGCUUUCUUUAAUUGAAUAAUUGAAUUUAAUUUUUUAGUGCAAAAGCAAAAAUAAAAAUUAGGGACAAGAAGACCCUAUGAAUUUUUUAUUAAAUUUUAUAAAAAGUUUUAUAAAAUUUAAUUUAAUUGGGGUGAUGGAAAAAGAAUAAAUAUCUUUUUUUUAAAAAAAAAAUUGGUUCCGUUUUUAGCGAUUAAAUGAAAAAAAUACUCUAGGGAUAACAGCGUAAUAAUUUUGGAUAGUUCAUAUAGAUAAAAUAGUUUGCGACCUCGAUGUUGGAUUAGGAU